AUACGGAGGAUGCGAGCGUUAUCCGGAUUUAUUGGGUUUAAAGGGAGCGUAGGCGGGAGCUUAAGUCAGCGGUUAAAUGGUGCGGCUCAAACGUGCCCUGCCGUUGAAACUGGGUUUCUUGAGAGUGCAAGAGGCGGAUGGCAUUCAUGGUGUCGCGGUGAAAUGCUUAGAUAUCAUGAAGCACCACGAUUGCGAAGGCAGUCCGCUGGGGCACGUCUGACGCUGAUGCUCGAAGGUGCGGGAAUCAAACAGGAUUAGAUACCCUGGUAGUCCGCACGGUAAACGAUGAUUACCCGCUGUCGGCGGCAGACAGUCGGCGGCCAAGCGAAAGCGAUAAGUAAUCCACCUGGGGAGUACGCCGGCAACGGUGAAACUCAAAUGAAUUGACGGGG
rnacentral:rRNA from 1 species